UGAGUAACCUGCCCUUAACUCUGGGAUAAGCCUGGGAAACUGGGUCUAAUACCGGAUAGGAGCGUCCACCGCAUGGUGGGUGUUGGAAAGAUUUAUCGGUUUUGGAUGGACUCGCGGCCUAUCAGCUUGUUGGUGAGGUAAUGGCUCACCAAGGCGACGACGGGUAGCCGGCCUGAGAGGGUGACCGGCCACACUGGGACUGAGACACGGCCCAGACUCCUACGGGAGGCAGCAGUGGGGAAUAUUGCACAAUGGGCGAAAGCCUGAUGCAGCGACGCCGCGUGAGGGAUGACGGCCUUCGGGUUGUAAACCUCUUUCAGUAGGGAAGAAGCGAAAGUGACGGUACCUGCAGAAGAAGCACCGGCUAACUACGUGCCAGCAGCCGCGGUAAUACGUAGGGUGCGAGCGUUAUCCGGAAUUAUUGGGCGUAAAGAGCUCGUAGGCGGUUUGUCGCGUCUGUCGUGAAAGUCCGGGGCUUAACCCCGGAUCUGCGGUGGGUACGGGCAGACUAGAGUGCAGUAGGGGAGACUGGAAUUCCUGGUGUAGCGGUGGAAUGCGCAGAUAUCAGGAGGAACACCGAUGGCGAAGGCAGGUCUCUGGGCUGUAACUGACGCUGAGGAGCGAAAGCAUGGGGAGCGAACAGGAUUAGAUACCCUGGUAGUCCAUGCCGUAAACGUUGGGCACUAGGUGUGGGGACCAUUCCACGGUUUCCGCGCCGCAGCUAACGCAUUAAGUGCCCCGCCUGGGGAGUACGGCCGCAAGGCUAAAACUCAAAGGAAUUGACGGGGGCCCGCACAAGCGGCGGAGCAUGCGGAUUAAUUCGAUGCAACGCGAAGAACCUUACCAAGGCUUGACAUGUUCUCGAUCGCCGUAGAGGUACGGUUUCCCCUUUGGGGCGGGUUCACAGGUGGUGCAUGGUUGUCGUCAGCUCGUGUCGUGAGAUGUUGGGUUAAGUCCCGCAACGAGCGCAACCCUCGUUCCAUGUUGCCAGCACGUAAUGGUGGGGACUCAUGGGAGACUGCCGGGGUCAACUCGGAGGAAGGUGAGGACGACGUCAAAUCAUCAUGCCCCUUAUGUCUUGGGCUUCACGCAUGCUACAAUGGCCGGUACAAUGGGUUGCGAUACUGUGAGGUGGAGCUAAUCCCAAAAAGCCGGUCUCAGUUCGGAUUGGGGUCUGCAACUCGACCCCAUGAAGUCGGAGUCGCUAGUAAUCGCAGAUCAGCAACGCUGCGGUGAAUACGUUCCCGGGCCUUGUACACACCGCCCGUCAAGUCA
rnacentral:rRNA from 1 species